GCACUAACUGAGGGUGAAGGAUGUCGGUUGGGUCUGCUAGGAGGGGCCAGGAGCCGGCCGGCAGAGAGCGGCUCGUGGGUCCCAGGACCCCUGACGUCCCUAGGUUGUACUGGGAGGUGCGAGCCCGAGGCUCUUAGUCGGCCCAGCGGCACGGGGCACAAGCGGGCCACAGAGAUGGGCAGGGAGCUGUGUCCCCAGGGUGGCGGAUUUCCGAGCCACCCACGCGGGUGGUUGGGAAAGGGCGGUGGAUUUUCCUGCGGAGAAACUUUCAGGGCGGGCCUGGCGCGCUCUCUGACCUUGGGCUAGUUAUUUUGUGUGCAGUUCACAAGAUGCCUGGCCGGGCUCCAAACUCGCUCUCUGUUUGGUUGUGUUUUGGCUCCCAAGAAGGCGAAGCCAGGCCUUUUUUCUUUUGCACAAACAGACAGGAAAGGAGAGAGGAAAUGCAAGCAAAGGUAGUAGGUAACCUAAGGUAGUAUAAGCCCGGGGUCAUCUUUGUGAGUUUGCAGACUUAACGUCGCUAGGCCUCAGUACUCUGCAGAAAGAUGGUGGAGGACCUAGAUGACCUCCCAGGCCAUUCCAGGACCAGUGUUUACAGUCCUGUUACAUAACCUAGUGUGGGUGUGCACACACAGGUUAUUAUAUGUUCAGCACUGUGCCCUUGGAAGCUAUGUUUACAUUUAAAGUUGUGUUGCAUUUUGCAGCUUUUGCAAGAAGUGGAAUAUGUUGAAAUACGAAAAUACCUAGAUUUAACAUACCACCUAUCAUAAAGAGAUUCAGGCGCCUUUCUUCUACUUUCUUGGGUGCAAAGGCCUUUUCAUUCCCUUUACCAAUUGCAUAAUCACCCACUGCCUCAAGUAACAACAGAAAAACUUAAACUUGGUAAGUAAUGCUGGUAGAUUUACAUUCAGGAGAUUGAAUACUCUCCAUCUCUCAUGAUCCUAGAACUUCCUUCGUUUCUUUGAAAGAAGAAUAGUGUAGUGAUUGGUUUAUAGUGUAGUGAUUGGUUUCUUAAUCAUGGGAUCUGAAGACAAUUUCAGCUUUAUUGCUUGUGAUCUUUGGCAAGCUACUUGUGCUAUCAGUUUUCUCAUCUAUAAAAAACAGACAAUAAAGAUGAAAAUGCCAUUUGG
rnacentral:lncRNA from 10 species